rnacentral:lncRNA from 1 species
CUGGGUGUGGUGACAUGCACCUGUAGUCCCAGCUACUCAGGAGGCUGAGGAGGAUGAGGGCCUGGGGCUGCGGGUGCAGAGGGUUGUUGGGGUCCAGGUGUUCAGUGCCUUGCGCGCGUGGCUGUCGCUCUGCCCCUCUGGUAUUGCCCGGCUGUAUCACAACCCUUAGAUGUGUCCAAACGGUCCUUGUGUGUAUAAGACACACACCCACGCACAUUUGGGAGAAGGGGGUAGUCAGUGUCUCUUUACAUUGCAGCGGUACGUUAAACCCCGUCUGGGUUAUUUUAAGCCUGAAGUUCAUGAAAGGAAACAUUUGAGUAAGUUAAGGCUGUGUUGAAUGCCGCGUUCCUUAUGACCUUGCCAUCUGAAUGUGAUGGUGGUUCCCAGAAGAAACAA